UGUAAGCUUUUUAAUAUGUUCUUUGCAUCUUCGUGGCCUGCCUGAUGGAAGCAGCAGCUAAAAGCAAAUCACAGGGUGAGAGGGUGAGUCUUGCUGGUGAGAAUUAGCAGCGUCAGGAGAGAAAUAUCUCACACCUAACAGACUGAAUUAUGCAUUAUGCUGCAAAAUCCCCAGUGUCGAUACGCAAAUGCUGUUCCUGUUGUUCUGCCUGUGACGAUUGGCAGCAAAAGAAUUCAAAUCACAUCCACACAGCAAUUGUCCUGCUGUAACUAAGUCUCUCCUAUCCAGGUAGGUAUGCUUGCGCAGACAAAAUCUAUGCAGUGUAGUAGGUGCUUUAGGAAGAGGUUAAAAAAGGAUGCUGAAAAUAUUUUCCUGUGUUCAGCAAUACAAAAUGUUGUCAGAUUAGUGUGUACUCACCCCUUUUUCUUGUGGGCCUCAUGGGGUAGAUGUUACCCCAGACCUUGGGAGGACUAGGUGAAGGAUCCGUACUGAGGCAUUGAAAGUGAUUUGAGGCACACAUCUCCAUGGAAGGACUUUUCUCUCUACAAACGAGAUAGGAGAAUGGGAAGCAGAGCCAAACAAAAUGUCAUCCCCAAUAAAAAGAAGCAAUGGGGUCAGCACCGUACCCUCUCUACACUGCAGACUAAGAGGACUGUGAAAUUGCGUGUAAUAAAUGGAUGAGUAAUUCAGCAUAUCUGCACAUCUUCAGAAGCUCUUGGGAGGUUCCUGUGGAAGGAGAGGGGUUUGUACCUGGAGCCUGGUUUCUCAUUCUGAGCUGCUCAAGGUCUCCCAUCUGGCAGAGAAGGUAGGAACCGGUUUAACAGACUGCAUGUGUUCACUUUCCACUAGCCCCUGGGAUUUAAUUUUAGGACUCCCUCCAGCUGCCUUGCUUUCCCUGCCCAUUUCCACAAGACAAUGUCACGCAGCACCAGUAGCUAAGGGAAGAUCUGUGACAACAGGCAACAGAGCUGGUGACCUCUCUCAUGGAGUCCCAGCCACAAAGAUGUUAAUCAGAUAAUCAGAGCUGACACAUGAA